CAGAUUGGUGUUUAUCAGAGCUGAUCAACAACCCAAGAGUGAUGAAGAAAGCUCGAGAGGAGGUUGACUCUGUUGUUGGAAAAGAUAGACUAGUCGACGAAUCAGAUAUUCAAAAUCUUCCAUACAUUAGAGCCGUCGUGAAAGAGACAUUCCGCAUGCACCCACCACUACCUGUUGUGAAAAGAAAAUGUACAGAAGAGUGUGAGAUUAAUGGGUAUGUAAUCCCAGAAGGAGCACUUGUACUUUUCAAUGUUUGGGCAGUUGGAAGAGAUCCAAAAUACUGGGAUAGACCAUUGGAAUUCCGUCCAGAGAGGUUCUUGGAAAAUGCAGGUGAAGGUGAUGCAGGUUCAAUUGAUCUUAGGGGUCAACAUUUUCAACUUCUACCAUUUGGGUCUGGAAGGAGAAUGUGUCCUGGAGUCAAUUUGGCUACUGCUGGAAUGGCUACACUCCUUUCAUCUGUACUUCAGUGCUUUGAAUUACAGGUAGCAGGACCAAAUGGACAAAUAUUGAAAGGUGCUGAUGCUAAGGUUAGCAUGGAUGAAAGACCUGGUCUCACUGUUCCAAGAGCACAUAAUCUCGUUUGUGUUCCACUUGCAAGACCUGGUGCUGCUGCUAAACUCCUUUCCUCCUAAAACAUACAUUCAAACACUUAAUUCGUCCAUGUCCGUUUAUAAACUAAAUAAUCAUUUUCAAUAAGGUAUCAUUGAGAGAGUCCACAAUGUGUGCUAGUGAUGGUACAUGGGCUUAAAGACGUAUUUAUGUAUAUCAUCUCAAUUUGUCUCUCUUGAUACUAUGAUUGUAAUUUUUAUAUUUUUGUUUUUUUGUUUAUGUCACGAAAGAAGUGUUGCUGUAACCGUUUACAAAAUCUAUAAUUUUGUGCCUCUUUGUUGAAUUUUUGUUAUUUAUAUUUUUGUAACGACCCAUUCACCUUCACCAAGAAAGCAAAAUAAUUUAAUCAACAAGGAAAUGUGGAUGCAUUCCACUAAAAGGACAUCCUCUGUAGCCUCAACACUCAUACGGGCAAAUUCAACGAUCUUUACUCUAAUAGUAAUCUCUAAGGUUUCUUUCUUUCUUAUAAUAAUUUUGAGAGGUUAGAUUUCAAUAUAGAAUUGAUACACCACAAAUAUUAUUGGCAUAACUCAAUACCUCCAAACUUUCAACUUUCAUCUUAAUUUUCAUGUUAUAUUUAUGUUGAUAUAAAUUCCUAACAAAAUUUGAUUUUUAGGUUUACCGUUAUGUUUUACAAUAAGAGCUCCAAAUUUGGCUGAAAAAACUAGAAGUUGUAAUAGUUUUUAGCUAAAUCAUAAGUUAUUCAUGAAUUUCACUUUGAUUUUUUAAAUUUUGUUUGUUUCAUUUCAAUCUAUUAAAUUACAAAUAAUCAGAUAUUUUAUUUUAUUUUAAUCUCUUAAAUAAUAAAUUAAAUAUUUUGAUCUUUUAAAUUACAUAUUUUGGUCCUUUUUAAUAGUGUUUAAUAUUGUAACUUAUUGGACUAAAGUGUUUAUUUUUUGAAACUUAAGAAGUUAAAAUCUUUAAUGUUUAUAACAUAUGAAACUAAAAUGUAAGGAAAAAUACUUGAGGGGCUAUAUUGUUUGACAUUUGUAACUUUCUGAGACUAAAAUAAAAAAAUAAAAAAAUUCAAGAGAGCAAAAGUAUAAUUUAGCUUAAUUUUUUAUGUUGUGAAGGAACGUUCUAAUGAGUUAAAGCUUAUAGCAAUAAACUUAGAUAAUUUGUUCUAUCGGUAGAAAGACCAAUAUGAGAUUCAAAUGCUUGAGGUUUGAAUUUGGCUAGUGCCUUUGGGAAAACUAUAUGUAAAUUCAUUUGUAAGUUCUUUGAACUCGAAAGUAUUCCCUAUUAUUAGGAUCGUCAAACAAUCUGUGCAACAAAAAUAUUGGCAUAGGGAUCCAAAUUAAGGGGACCUCAAUUUUUAUUUUUAUAAUAUACCUUAACAUUUGAAAAAUUACAUUUAUAUUCUUAAUUUUAUACAUUGAACAUUGUAAAAUUUCAUAUUUGCACCUUAUGUUUAGAAUAAAUAGUCAGUUUCCCACCACUGAGUCUCUGACAUCGACUGCAGUCUAUCAAACGCUAUCACCCACCAUCAGAUGUUAUUAUUUUGUGAAUUUACGAGCUCAAUUUUUAGAUUCGAAUAGAGUCUCUAAAAACAUUUAGAUGAUCGUGUCUACUAUAGACUGGAGCUCAUUCUUUCACCCUAAAAUUCUCAUAACAAAAAUAAAAAAUUGUAGGAUCACAUUUUAGGUUUGGCUAAAUAAUUAGGGGUGUUCACAUCAUAAUUGAUAAAAUAAAAUAAAAAAAUCAAAAACCGCAUAAUAUCGAAUAUUAUUAGAUGUGUUUAGAUCGCCUUUUGUGAAAAUUGCUCAAAUCGGAUCAAUUUUCAGAUUCCUUUUACAAAUUUAAACCAAACUGAAUCAAACCGCACAUAUAAAUUUUAAUACUUUUUUUUAUCAGUUUAAUAUGUUUUAUUACUAUUUCAUAUGUUUCAAAUUUAAUCGAUGAAUGGUCUUUCAUAAUAUUAAUUUUCAAUAUAUCAUAUCCUAUAUUUUUCAAACUUGCUACUUUAAGAUAAUUUUAUAAUAUUAGUAUUACAAUAACUUUAUGCAAUUAUUUUAAUAGUAUAAACAAUUGGAUUAUAUAAAAUAAAAGUCUUAAAUUUUAAAAAUGUUAAUCUGAUUAAAUCGAACUAAAUCAACAUGUUUUUCAUUAAUUUGAUUAGAAAAUUAUGAGAAAAAUAAUGAACUAAAACUAAAAUUUUAAUAUACAAUAAAAUAUUAUAUUUAAUUUAUCAAUUAAAAUUUUAAAAAUUUAGUACUCCAAAGAUUUUGUUCAAGUUUCGCUAAGAUACCAGAAUCAUGUCCAAAAAAGUUAAGAAAACUUAUUUUUUCACUUUUAAAUUUUUUUAAAAUUUCUAAAUUUAACCCAAAUUGAUUAUUACAUAAAUGUAUUUUAUAUUUAUCUGAUCAAUUUAAAUGUUUAUUUUUAUAUAUUUGAAAAUAUAAGUAUAAGAAGAAACACCCAAAAGUUAAAUAGAACAUAUGUUUGGAUGCAAUGUUCCUUCCUACCGCAGCCAAAUUGUCUUGUGUGUCUCAAAGGUUCGCAUGUAUUUGACUGGAAAAAUAUUUUAGAAUAAAUGCAGCGCCCUCUCUGAUGGACUAGAAAAGUAGUAGUAGUGGUAGGUGAUACUUGCACAUCAUUUAAAAAUAAAUGUCAUUUCAAUUAUUUCUUUAAUUUUAAUGUUUUUAUAAUUUACUAUUUAUUCAUAAUAUUAGAAACGGUAUCAAUAAUGGGCGACUUAUUUAAAAAAAAUAUAUAAAUUUUUAAAUAAUGUAAUUUUUCUUUUAUUAUAAUAAUCAAUGACACGUGAUUUGGUCAAAUGCAUAAAUAUUUUGCUAAUUCUUAUUAUAUUGAAAAAAUUGUGACAGCUAUUUUGAUUGAUGAGAAAAAUUAAAGUAUAUUUUAACCCUUAAUAAAAAACAGUGACAAUUUAAUCCUUUCACAGUUGACUUGUAAACUGUACAUGAGCGGCCAUAUAGAAAAUCUAGUCCAAAGAUGGGGCUUAUAAAAGGGAAUAAUAGCAAAGCUUUUCUCUCAGCCAAAACAUAAAUCCUAUUUGACUUAAACUCAUCAUAGUAACAACUGUUGUUUCUACUUAUUAGUUGACUCAACAAGUUAAUUACACUAUCAAAUAAGCAAUACCAUGUUGGUGGAACUUGCAAUCACUUUAUUGCUUAUUGCUCUGUUUUUACACUUGCGACCAACACCAACAGCUAAAUCAAAAGCUCUUCGACACCUUCCCAAUCCACCAAGUCCCAAACCUCGUCUUCCUUUUGUUGGUCACCUUUACCUUCUGGAUAACCCUCUUCUUCACUACUCUCUCAUUCGUCUGGGAGAACGUUACGGGCCUUUGUAUUCUCUCUACUUUGGUUCCAUGCCUACUGUUGUUGCCUCCACCCCUGAACUAUUCAAACUCUUCCUUCAAACACAUGAAGUUGUUUCCUUCAACACAAGGUUCCAAACCUCUGCCAUUAGACGACUCACUUAUGAUAACUCUGUUGCUAUGGUUCCCUUUGGACCUUACUGGAAGUUUAUUAGGAAACUUAUCAUGAAUGAUCUUCUUAAUGCUACCACCAUCAACAAGUUGAGACCCUUGAGGAGCCAAGAAAUUCAUGAAGUUAUUAAUGUUAUGGCUCAUAGUGCUAAAACUCAAGAGCCACUUAAUGUGACAGAGGAACUUUUGAAAUGGACAAAUAGCACUAUUUCUAGGAUGAUGUUGGGUGAGGCUGAAGAAAUUAGAGAUAUUGCUCGUGAUGUUCUUAAGAUUUUUGGAGAGUAUAGUCUUACUGACUUUAUUUGGCCUUUGAAGAAGCUUAAAGUUGGGAAAUAUGAAAAGAGAAUUGAUGAAAUUUUUAAUAAGUAUGAUCCUAUCAUUGAAAAGGUCAUCAAAAAACGACAAGAGAUUAGGAAAAAAAGAAAGGAGAGAAAUGGAGAACUUGAAGAGGGGGAGGAGAGUGUAGUUUUUCUGGAUACUUUGCUUCAAUAUGCUGAGGAUGAGACCAUGGAAAUCAAAAUAACCAAGGAACAAAUCAAGGGUCUUGUUGUGGUAAGUUUCUUUUCUUCAAUUCUAAUUGCUUUGUUUCAUAUUUUAGAUUUUAAAUGAGAUUAGAUUGGUUGAGUCAAUUAUACUAUAGCAAGUAGAAACUAUACCAAACUAAAUUAUUUCGUAUGCAGGACUUCUUCUCUGCAGGGACAGACUCGACUGCUGUGGCGACAGAUUGGUGUUUAUCAGAGCUGAUCAACAACCCAAGGGUGAUGAAGAAAGCUCGAGAGGAGGUUGACUCUGUUGUUGGAAAAGAUAGACUCAUUGAUGAAUCAGAUAUUCAAAAUCUUCCUUACAUUAGAGCCAUUGUGAAAGAGACAUUCCGCAUGCACCCACCACUACCUGUGGUCAAGAGAAAAUGUACGCAAGAAUGUGAGAUCAAUGGGUAUGUGAUCCCAGAGGGAGCAUUGAUACUUUUUAAUGUUUGGGC
rnacentral:lncRNA from 1 species